CCAAAUUAAUUUAGACAUAGCAAUAAGCAGUGAAUUAGUAUUGGAUGCAAUUUGAGGAUCACAAAAUGCUUAUUGUUUUAGUGUUGAGACAUAUGCCCCAGGUACUUCUUGAUAUUGAAGUAGACAUUUGUAUAACUACACUUAUGUUCCAACUGGGAUUAAUCUACGCACAUAUCUUAGUUUUGGGUUUUUUUAAUCACAUGGGAAUUGGCCAGAAUAAUACGCUUGUGAAGAAGUGUCAAAUCCUGCCUAUUAUUAAACAUACAUGUCUAUUGGAAAACCUUGUGUAUGAACCUGUCACCCAAGUAUCCCUUUAAACACACCUUGAGAGGAGGGGGAACUUUUGGUAGAGAUGAACCAGGCACUGUCCUUGAAUGGGUCUGAAUAGUUUGUGUGUAACCCAAGAAUGUAGGUCCAGACCUGACUAAAGCAAAGCUUUCUUUUAUUGCAAGAAAAGAGAGAGAAACAAAAUUAUUUGGGUGCGUGGCAGCAUUAAUUAUGAAUAUUGUAAUCUAUUCAUAACUCUAAACUAAGACAUAAAAGGUCCCUACUGCUACAAGACGUAACAGGUGCCAGAAAUUAUAUCUUCUAGACUGAAGAGUGUAGGGAGUGGUAUACAGUAGCAUCUGUGAAGAAUAUACCAUAUUUUUUCAUGAAUAAGAUGCCCCCAUGUAUAAGGCGCCCCCUAUUUUGGGGGACUCCAAAUUAAGAAAACACCCCUCAGCACUACCUGUGUAUAAGACAUGCUCCAAUUUUAAACCUUAUUUUUUUGGUAAAAAAAAACCCUAUCUUAUACACAGAAAAAUACGGUACUUUCUAACACUAUAGGCCAAUGACUUGUUCUGCUAUCUUGAACAAUGGGAUUUUCCUGCCAAGCAUGAGGGAAACUGCCAAGGAGAUAAGAUAAAAACUCUUGUCAUGAACUCAUUGUAUUUUGGGGAACUCUCAAAUUUAUUAAUUUAUUUAUUGCAAGUUGAAAUGCCUGAAUCCUUGUCAUGUCAAAUGAGUGAAACCCACAGUGGGUAAAAAAAGGAGAAGGGUGCCUGUUAUGAACCAAGUGCUCCAAAUGAACUAAGUGCUGCUCUGCCAAAGGCAUCCACCUAGCGCUGCCUUGCACUUUCUAGGCAAGCAAGCAAGGCCCAGCCCUCUACUGCAGUUUACAACCCACUUGUUGAGUAAGAUUAUAGGGCGUUUGCUAGACAUUUGAUAUGGUAGGGCUGCCAGAGAGGAGAGUGAAUCAAUAUUGUUUCAACUGUUUAACAUUUGUAACUUCUCCAAAAUUUGAUCGUAGUCACACCAUCUUUCUCUCAUUAUACUUAACCUGAGUUCUACUGCUCUCAUUAAGAGUUCCCACUCUUGCAUGACUGUGAAUUCACAUAAAGAUAUGGGAAAGCUUGCAGUGUUUCAGUAACUGGACUUUUGUAUGUGACU